rnacentral:rRNA from 1 species
UACGAAGGGGGCUAGCGUUGCUCGGAAUCACUGGGCGUAAAGCGCACGUAGGCGGCUUUUUAAGUCAGGGGUGAAAUCCUGGAGCUCAACUCCAGAACUGCCUUUGAUACUGAGGAGCUUGGAGUCCGGGAGAGGUGAGUGGAACUGCGAGUGUAGAGGUGAAAUUCGUAGAUAUUCGCAAGAACACCAGUGGCGAAGGCGGCUCACUGGCCCGAUACUGACGCUGAGGCACGAAAGCGUGGGGAGCAAACAGG